rnacentral:rRNA from 1 species
CACGUAGGGCGCGAGCGUUGUCCGGAAUUAUUGGGCGUAAAGAGCUCGUAGGCGGCCUGUUGCGUCCGCUGUGAAAGCCCGGGGCUUAACCCCGGGUCGGCAGUGGAUACGGGCAGGCUAGAGGUAGGUAGGGGAGAAUGGAAUUCCCGGUGUAGCGGUGAAAUGCGCAGAUAUCGGGAGGAACACCAGUGGCGAAGGCGACUACCUGGCCUGUUCUUGACGCUGAGGCGCGAAAGCUAGGGGAGCAAACGGG